rnacentral:rRNA from 1 species
UGCUGCAUGGCUGUCGUCAGCUCGUGUCGUGAGAUGUUCGGUUAAGUCCGCUAACGAGCGCAACCCUCGCUGUGUGUUACAAGUGUCACACGGAACUGCCGGUCAUAAACCGGAGGAAGUGGGGAUGACGUCAAGUCAGCAUGGCCUUUAUAUCCUGGGCUACACACACGCUACAAUGGGAAGGGACAAUAGGUUGCGAAGCCGCGAGGCGGAGCCAAUCCAGCAAAACUUCCCUCAGUUCAGAUUGCAGGCUGCAACUCGCCUGCAUGAAGUUGGAGUUGCUAGUAAACGCAGGUCAGCCAUACUGCGUUGAAUACGUUCCCGGGGCUU